rnacentral:rRNA from 1 species
UUGGAGGGCAAGUCUGGUGCCAGCAGCCGCGGUAAUUCCAGCUCCAAUAGCGUAUAUUAAAGUUGUUGCAGUUAAAAAGCUCGUAGUUGAAUUUCGGGAUCAAUAUGUCGGUCGUGCCUCGGUACGUACUGGCAUCAUUGGUUUCUCCCUUCUGAUGAACCAUAAUGCCAUUAAUUUGGUGUUGUGGGGAAUCAGGACUGUUACUUUGAAAAAAUUAGAGUGUUUAAAGCAGGC